UGACACAGGCGAAGGCAUCUCAACUCACCUUCCGGACGCUGGGACAGCAUGGCAGUGAGGGAUGGAGCACCGUAUGGGAAAGAGAGCUGCUAACACUUGUGGGACAGGACUUCACUGUGGCAUUGAUGACAACCAAAAGCAGCCCUACACUAAGAGCAUGAGGCUGUGCAUACCAACUGCAUCUCCCAAGGGCAUGGAGGUUUUGCAAUAAAACUAACACAGAGCUUCUGCCAAGCACGACAUGAAGACCUGAAGAGCGGUGAGCACCUCUGGGGCUCCAUCGGUCUCCAGCAGCACAGACCUGGAGAGAGCAAGGACAGGACUAGCUGCCUGGAGAGCAACACCCUCGGUCGGAAUCACCAGAGGGCUGAGGAAUCAGAUGU